UUCCCCCAAUCAUUCGUGCAUUCCCUGGAGACCUCUGGAGCCAAGGAAAACCCUAGCCCUUCAUCGGCGCCGCCGUCCCCAGGUCCUCAGCGCCACCGCUGCUUCCUCUUCCCCGUGUUGUUUUCGUUUUCGCUGGCACGUCGUUUUCAUCUUCCUCUUCCCCAGGUAGCUCGGCAUGUCGUUUUCAUCUUCGCUGGCUUCUCGGCACGGAACCCAGUACCUAUGUUACUGAUUCACGGAUUCAUCCCUCUUGUCAUUAUCAUCGGCAUGAACCCCGAACCAAAACCCCAACUCUCUGGAUAAAUUUGUAACGAAAGCUGAUUGAGACUUUUUCUUCUACUUAAGGUUCUUUUGUUUUUGGCUUUUUGCUGGAACAAAGACAAGAGUGGUCUCAGCAAUCCCCAUCCUCAGCAAGAACUUUUUACCUGGUGUAAGGUUCUCGGGGGAGUCGUUUGUCCAAUGGGUUGAAGGGAGUGAAUCGAGCAGCAAUCCCAAAACCACCAUUUAGCUGGAGAAAGUGGAAAUGCUAGCUUUUUGAUUGGAUGAUUACGCGUCUUCGGAUUGAUUUCAAAAAAUUUCAAUUUUCAAUUCAAGUUCUAAAACUGUUCUACACUCAAACCCUCUCUUUCACUUGAAAGAAGAUGUUGCAGCAAUCUCAAUUAAUUUUUCCGCCCAAAUUUGAUUUUAAAGGAAGAGGUUGUACAGCUGAUUGAGCGGGAAUUUUUCCGCUCAAAUUUGGCCCUAUAAAACAAAUUUCCUAAUUCAUCUAUUUCCUCAUGCUCCCAUUCACUAUCAUAACUACCCUCUUUUCUUCGAACCCUCCUAACAUUCUGAAACUCUCGUUCUCAUCCUCUGAAAUCUUUUUCCAUUGAAAAUCUUGAGUGGGAAAGCAGGAGAUUGCGUUCUCAGUAAGGUGUGUCGCCGGGGAUUCUCUCUCCUCCAUUGUUGCCGGAAUGUCUCAGACGGCGUCGAUCCCCCGUGACAACACCUCCACAGAUGACAUCACCAAAAACGCCCAAGCGUCAUCGAAUGGGGGUGGCUGUCACUGCUACGAGGCUGAGGAUCUUCAUUAUGUUUUACUCAAUGUAUGAGCACGUGGAAGGCCUAGCAAGGAGGCUGAAGAAGGGCGUGGACGGCGUUGAGGGAGUGGAAGUGGUUCUCUACAGGGUGCUGGAGAUGCUCCCGUCAGAGAGUCAGAUUGGCGGGAAUGAAGGGGAGUUUGAUGGAUGGAAGUGGUCGAGGCCUAAUGGAGGGCAUGGAGGACUAACAUCAGCACUGAAGACAUAAAAGAUUUAAACAAAACAAGAUUUUUCAUGUUUGAUGGACAGAGUGAUGGAAAAGAAUGACGUUUCUUUGGUUUCAUCCGGUGAUAAAUCAAGUUACUAUAUUGAGUGAUUAGAUAUGGAGCAUGGAAAAUGUGAUUUUGAUGUCAAUGAUUAUGGUGAGGAGGAUGAGAAGGAACAAGGAGAAGAGGAAGAAAAUGGAGAGGAGAGACUUGAGGAAGACCAAAGUGGAUGAAAUAAUGAUGAGAUGUAAUAACUUGAGAAAGUGUAUAAAGAGCAUUAUCACCGGGAGCUGUAACAAUUAUUAACCUUUUAUUCUUAACAUUGAUUCAUGUAGUUUAGUUUUAAUAAUAUUUGAUUCCAUCAUAUUUUCAGUUGUUUUAAUAGGUACAUGUGUAAGGACAUUAAGAAGAGUAUUUAUAAUUUGUGAUAUGGCUGGUAGCCUCAUUGAUGAACUAAAUGAAUACCAGAUUUUUUAUCGAG